AUUGAACGCUGGCGGCAUGCUUUACACAUGCAAGUCGAACGGUAACAGGCCUUCGGGCGCUGACGAGUGGCGAACGGGUGAGUAAUGCAUCGGAACGUGCCCAGUCGUGGGGGAUAACUAUCCGAAAGGAUAGCUAAUACCGCAUACGAUCUGCGGAUGAAAGCGGGGGACCUUCGGGCCUCGCGCGAUUGGAGCGGGCGAUGUCAGAUUAGGUAGUUGGUGGGGUAAAGGCGCACCAAGCCAACGAUCGUGAGCUGGUCUGAGAGGACGACCAGCCACACUGGGACUGAGACACGGCCCAGACUCCUACGGGAGGCAGCAGUGGGGAAUUUUGGACAAUGGGCGCAAGCCUGAUCCAGCAAUGCCGCGUGCAGGAAGAAGGCCUUCGGGUUGCAAACUGCUUUUGUACGGAACGAAACGGUUCUGGUUAAUACCCGGGGCUAAUGACGGUACCGUAAGAAUAAGCACCGGCUAACUACGUGCCAGCAGCCGCGGUAAUAC
rnacentral:rRNA from 1 species